ACUUAAAUUGAAGAGUUUGAUCAUGGCUCAGAUUGAACGCUGGCGGCAGGCCUAACACAUGCAAGUCGAGCGGUAGCACAGAGAGCUUGCUCUCGGGUGACGAGCGGCGGACGGGUGAGUAAUGUCUGGGAAACUGCCUGAUGGAGGGGGAUAACUACUGGAAACGGUAGCUAAUACCGCAUAACGUCGCAAGACCAAAGUGGGGGAC
rnacentral:rRNA from 2 species